rnacentral:rRNA from 1 species
CGCGGCCUAUCAGCUUGUUGGUGAGGUAACGGCCCACCAAGGCGACGACGGGUAGCUGGUCUGAGAGGACGGCCAGCCACACUGGGACUGAGACACGGCCCAGACUCCUACGGGAGGCAGCAGUGGGGAAUCUUGCGCUAAUGCGCGAAAGCGUGACGCAGCGACGCCGCGUGGGGGAUGAAGGCCUUCGGGUCGUAAACCCCUUUCGCCAGGGAAGAAGGGAAACUGACGGUACCUGGAGAAGAAGUCCCGGCUAACUACGUGCCAGCAGCCGCGGUAACACGUAGGGGACGAGCGUUGUCCGGAUUUAUUGGGCGUAAAGCGCGCGUGGGCGGCCCGGAAAGUCGGUUGUGAAAACCCGGGGCUCAACCCCGGGCCGGCAUCCGAAACUUCCGGGCUGGAGGUAGGUAGGGGAGAUCGGAAUUCCUGGUGUAGCGGUGAAAUGCGCAGAUAUCAGGAGGAACACCGGUGGCGAAGGCGGAUCUCUGGGCCUUACCUGACGCUGAGGAGCGAAAGCAUGGGGAGCGAACAGGAUUAGAUACCCUGGUAGUCCAUGCCGUAAACGUUGGGCACUAGGUGUGGGGGACAUUCCACGUUUUCCGUACCGUAGCUAACGCAUUAAGUGCCCCGCCUGGGGAGUACGG